rnacentral:misc_RNA from 1 species
UGGAGAAACAAGACAAAGAUUCAACAUUAAAUGUAGAUAAACUUGAUGCUGCCAUUAAAGCAUGUGGAGAUCAAGUGAUUUAUUUGAAAGUAAAGAAAGCUGACAAGGUACGAUACAUGGAAAAAGAGAGAAGAAUUUCUCCUCCUUUUCUCUUUCCCAUAGCCAUUUACUCGUCGUCAUCCUCGUCGAGGCUGCAAUCCGAAAAAGCGCUCGACAGGUCGCUGUCCUCGUCCGAGUUUGCCUCCAAGUUUGCCUCCAAAGCCAACUUGGCCUUUUUGGCUUCCUUGAUUCUCCAGAAACAUCACUGGUGUCGUUUCCAGAACCAACAUCAGGGUCUCCACAAGAAUACAGGAUUCCACAACGGGGGUAUCUUCCUUGUCAGAAUCUUCAUCAUCUGAGGUUAAGUUCCUACUUCUACGGAAAGCCGUCGACCAGGAAAAUCAAUUCUAGAAGAUCCAGUGUACACAAAAGAUAUCAUGAAUGAUUCGGGAAAUUCUCCUGAUUCAGGCGAGUCACAGAGCAGUGACAGUGGCGCAAAAGAGUCCCUCCUGAAAGAUUCGUCCUUAUCAUCUAGCAGCAGCCAAGAAACUUUGACUUCAUCUUCAUACUUACCAUGUUCGAUUGAGACAACGGGAAGAAGAUUUGCCUGAAGAAGAAGAAGACCAUUACAAGAAACCCCUAAACCCUUAAACCGGAUUAAUUGAUAGCCAAACUCGUCCAAUAAUUCCAACUGGGAGUGCAAGCCAGCAUGUAAA